UUAUCUUUUCCUACAACACCUUUUUCAGCUUUCUUAAGCUCCGUGCCCAACUCCAAAUGGGGCUUUAAUUCGCGGAUGGAGGGAGUACCUGAUUUUUCAUUGAACGGGGACGGAUGCCGAUUUGAUGUCGACGCUAACCGCGAGGAAAAGGAGGGGGCUGACUGCCCUGCUCCCCUGGACUUCAAGAAGAGGGCGCAACGACCCUGUUCUGCCGCUCAUCGAAGGCUCAGAGAUAUAGGAGAGUACCCCUCGCCGGAGCCGUACAGUGCCCACGACUUUUGCCGAAGCCGAGGUGAGCCCCGGGCUCAACCCCGAGGAAGAGAAGGCGGAGGUCGUCGGGCUCAAAGAGGUUACUCCGCCUAAACCGAGAGGAAAAGAGAGGGAGGCUAGGGCUAACCGCGUCGGCAGGAGGUAGAGCUAGGGCUCAACGGAGAGGCGAUUUCCGGCCAAGGAAAGCGCGGCGGUGCUGUAAUGCUUAACAGCGGCGGCCUCGCCGGAACCGGAUGGGAGAAGUAGCAGAUUGAGUUUGAGAAGAGGAUUAGGGCUCCGUUUCGUUUCCAAUUGACAAUGUGUGUUUUCUGAAAUUUGGGGAUCGGGAGGAAAAGCACGAGAAAAGAGGACGGACGAAGGGCGUGACGGCAGGGAAGAUGAGGACGCCAAAUGGCCGUCGCCGGCGGCGCGGCUUUCAGAGGCGGCGACUUUCGAGAGAGAGAUCGCGAAACAGGGAGAGAAUGCGAGAAAGGAAUGGCGACAAUAGUUGAGAGAAGAAACGCCGGAUUUCAGAGUGGCGGAGGCGGCCGUUCGCCGGUGCUAAAAGAGUCAGCGGCGGCGACGAAUUUGGCAUGAAGAAGAGAGUGCUGAUCCUUUCAGUCGUUCCUGACUAAAAAAGAAGAGGUGGGCCUCUUGCUUGGGCUGAAUUUAUUCCUUAAGGUGGGCCGAAAUGUUGGGCUGGAUUUAAUUAGAAAAUGGCUUACUUAUUUCCUUAAAUGAGCCCAGGUUUGAGUAUUAAGUAGAGUGGACUGAUUAGAAUUUAUUAAAUUGGGCCUUUAUUAUUUCUCCUAUAUUUAAGUCUAAUUGGAUAUUAGUUCAACACUCAUUAGUUUAUUAAUUUAUGAUUAUGGAUUAAAUAGACUAGAUCUAUUUAAUUAGUAUGUGGGUUAAAAUACUCUAAGAUGAAUGAAUAUAUUAAGAUUAAUUAUCCGAUACCCUAAGACGAGCUUUAAUCCUAUAGUUCGAUUAUUAAUUAAGGAAUAUGAGUCAUGCAUAUUUAUUUUACGCAUUCUCAUUUAUUUGAGAAUUUUCUUCGAGCUAAGGUUUGACCUUAUGUUCUCGCAUUAAAGGUUAAGCGCAAGGGUAAGAGCUAGUCAAGGAGUUACUGAACUGUAGCAAAGCUUUGCUAUCAGGUGGGUUUUACUUUCAUAUAUAUAUCGAUGAGUUUAAUGUUAUGUUUCAACAAGUUAUUUCAUUUUAAACCUUUGAACUGAAAUUAUUUCAACUAUUUUCUUGCCAUAAAUGUUAAAAUUUUAGUAUGAUAUCUAUCUGCUUUGGCUUUGCCAAUGAUGCAAUCGAAUUCGGGUCCUGAGCAGUUGAUAGCUAUCCUGCCAGCACUAGUGUACACCAGUGACCGUGAGUCAUCUAGCGGCUGCUAGGACUAGUGUACACCAGUGACCGUGAGUCAUCUAGCGGGUUGGCCGGUCAAGUGUUCGUAAGAGGUGGCCACCUUUCCGGCACACAGUUCCAGAUAUAAUAGAUUACAAGAGAAUUUAGUAUGAUCAGACGAAUUUUAAGAAUCACAAAUGAAUUUAGUAAGCUUGGGCCUUUUAGCUAAAACUCCCUUGCUGUACUGUUUAUGAUGGCAUGCCAAUUUAUAGUUUUUAUGCAAUCAUGUGUAUAUUUAGGCAUAUGUACCCACUGAGUACUCUCGUACUCAGCCCUGCAUAUAUUUCUAAAUGUGCAGGUUAAGCAGUGGCUGAUGAAGAUGAAGUGAAGAGCAG
rnacentral:lncRNA from 1 species